UAGGUAGGACGUGUCGGCU
rnacentral:sRNA from 1 species